rnacentral:ncRNA from 1 species
AAUAGUUCUCAGGGCGGGGCGAAAUUCCCCACCGGCGGUUAUAGCCCGCGAGCGCAAAGGGUUUCCCUUCGGGAUUCCCCUUGGUCAGCAGAUACUGGUGAAAUUCCAGAGCCGACGGUCAUAGUCCGGAUGUGAGAGAGCUUCG